UUACCACCACCACCAAAACCACUCAAAAUUGGAACUUGUAAAAGUAUUUGUUUAUAUAUAGGAGAGUGAGUAGUAGUAGUAGGCAGUAUACAUCAAUUUCUACACAUUGAGAUGAUAUCGUUAGAUAUCGAAUCUAAUUGGGCGUAUAAGUACUUGAGUAGACAACGUCUGGACACGAUUUCAGCAUGCGAAUCAUUGAGCACAGCUCCAUUCACACUCAUAUGCUCGCCACUGACACACUUUGUGCCAGUUGAUACUGAAAUAACCUAUUCAAGGAUUAAAAGGAUUAAUUAAUAAACACAAAAACAAAAAGGGUGAACUAAACUAAACUAUCGCUUACUUUGGCUUCACUAAAAUUCAUAUUCUCUGUCAUCACAAUUCCAGCGAGAACCUUACGACGCGAAUACGCCUCCUGUCCCUUAAUUACCUCCAUGAAUUUCUCCAAUACCAGGCGACCAAUUGUGUCCGCAUGGAUUUGUGGCAAUUCCAUUGACGAUGUCUUAUCAUCAAUGGGCAGCGGCACAUUCUUUUGGGGUGCCAUCAUUGGACUAUACGAGAUAUUGCACAGCGAGGCAAGUGCGGCCUUGGCAGCGGCAUUUUUGGCCAAUUUUUUGGAGGGACCUACAGAAUAGAAAAUCAAAUUAAAUUAAAUAAAUAUUCAUUUAGCUAAUUGAAUAUAUAAAUUCCAUUAAACUCUUUA